GCGCCACCAUGCUGAGGAUGUCAUUAGUGAGACAAGCAUCUUUCUCGUCAACAAACAGGACCCUGGACACCGUGCCGCCAUGUUCUUUGGCACAUAACAGCUAGACGUGUGUGCCGGUUGGGAGAACAAGGACAGACUCUAAGGAAGCUAAAGAAGAAGGAGCUGGUGAGAAGCUGGAGGGAGGCAGCAAUGACUUCUAAACCAAGAAAGGUAAAGACAGCCACCAAAGGCUGAAGCUGUGGGAGACACGCCUGGGACUGCCGCAGGCAAUGGCCCUGCUCACACAUCGAGUGUGGACUUCCAUGUGGCACGGGGGGCAAGGGAAAUGCCGCUUCAGGUUACCCAGUAAGUGAAACACGAGAUCAAUAAAGCCCUCCCUGGAAGCCAUAGAGCGAGAUUUCAGUGGAAUACACAGGAAAGCGGAGCAUCGGGGAGACUCCAAAGGAAAGAUGCAGGCCCAGGGCCUCCCAGAAAGCUGUGUGCUGUUUUCCCAAAGCCUCUGCCUCUCAAUGGAGCGAUUCUGGACACUAGAGAGAUGACUCCUCCCAGGAGCAGUGGCCCUGUCAUCAUAUCUACUGCAAUCUGAACCCGAGACUGCUUAUGGUAACCUGGAAGCUCCCUGCCUGCCUCACAGCCACCUGGAAGGAUGGGGAGGAUGUGGAUGCCGUGGAGGCCCUGCAUCUUGCAGGUGACCUGGCUGGAUCUGAGCUCCACGUCGACUGUGGCUCUUCAGUGCUGCGUGGCACCUGUCACACAAAAUGGUAAUGAAGUUCUGUGAUGUCACUGAGAACUCUGCAUGUACAGUGCUGUGUGGGGUCCUCACGGUGGCUGCAGGUGGUGAUGCAGGGCAUGAGGAGGGUGCACGGAGGGGCAGUGAGGGCAAUGGGCAGCGAGCCCACGAUGCCUUUCUCUGGGAGCCUGGGGUAUGGAACUGUGCUUCGUGGCAGCCUCACACUUCUCUCUCCCACAAAGCACAGAGUCACCCUCUCGCUCCCAACCUGGCUGUUGCACACAGUCACCCAUCCACAAGGGCCAUGGGGGCUGGCAAGCGGCUUCCCAGCAGUCCACUCCCGAGAAGACAGUGGGCGGGGACACAGGGGCAUACGUGGUCAGCUUGCGUCACAGCCUGUUCCCCGCCCCACUGCUCUGGGGACUACAGAAAAGGCAAGGCUUUAUUUUACUUCCUCUGCAUCCCUGAAACUUGAUAUGACCCAACACAGAGUGGGCUUUCAGGGACUGCUCCGUGAAUGGCAGGGAGGAUGGGUGACUAAAUUGGGGUUCCAUCCCUUUGUGGGGGGCAUGUAUGUGGCCAGACGCAGUUAUUCUGAGCUGUUGCCUCCUAAAAUUAACAGCCUUACUGUCACCUACUGGUCUGCAGAGGAGUCAUUGGGUGCUCCUGUCCCUUCGGCAGUGGCCAGGAAGGUGAUGUAAGGGUGAGGGUGUGAUUUAUGCACCUGUGAUAGGACCUGGCCCGAUGUUUGCAAAGCGCUUCCUGGAGAAAAGGUGCUUCAUAAAUAUUAGGUAUUCUGCUCAUGAGGGGCAAAGCGUUACAAAUCAGAUUUGGUGGCAUGAAAGUAACAUAUUUAUGAUCCACUAUCAUAUUGCAAAUGAAAUGAAUGCAAUAAAAGUGUCACUUAUACAAAUACCUCUGAUGUACAGAUCCCGACCUAUGAAUAUGAAAACAGACACCCAAGCACUUUUAUUUGAAUGUCUAAUCAUGGAAAUAAAUGAAGCCAUGUUCAUUUUAA